rnacentral:rRNA from 1 species
CACUAUCGUUAACUGAAUACAUAGGUUAACGAGGCGAACCGGGGGAACUGAAACAUCUAAGUACCCCGAGGAAAAGAAAUCAACCGAGAUUCCCCCAGUAGCGGCGAGCGAACGGGGAGCAGCCCAGAGUCUGAAUCAGCUUGUGUGUUAGUGGAACGGUCUGGAAAGUCCGACGGUACAGGGUGAUAGUCCCGUACACCAAAAUGCACAGGUUGUGAACUCGAAGAGUAGGGCGGGACACGUGGUAUCCUGUCUGAAUAUGGGGGGACCAUCCUCCAAGGCUAAAUACUCCUGACUGACCGAUAGUGAACCAGUACCGUGAGGGAAAGGCGAAAAGAACCCCGGCGAGGGGAGUGAAAAAGAACCUGAAACCGUGUACGUACAAGCAGUGGGAGCACCUUCGGGUGUGACUGCGUACCUUUUGUAUAAUGGGUCAGCGACUUAUAUUCUGUAGCAAGGUUAACCGUAUAGGGGAGCCGCAGGGAAACCGAGUCUUAACUGGGCGUUAAGUUGCAGGGUAUAGACCCGAAACCCGGUGAUCUAGCCAUGGGCAGGUUGAAGGUUGGGUAACACUAACUGGAGGACCGAACCGACUAAUGUUGAAAAAUUAGCGGAUGACUUGUGGCUGGGGGUGAAAGGCCAAUCAAACCGGGAGAUAGCUGGUUCUCCCCGAAAGCUAUUUAGGUAGCGCCUCGUGAAUUCAUCUUCGGGGGUAGAGCACUGUUUCGGCUAGGGGGUCAUCCCGACUUACCAACCCGAUGCAAACUACGAAUACCGAAGAAUGUUAUCACGGGAGACACACGGCGGGUGCUAACGUCCGUCGUGAAGAGGGAAACAACCCAGACCGCCAGCUAAGGUCCCAAAGUCGUGGUUAAGUGGGAAACGAUGUGGGAAGGCACAGACAGCCAGGAUGUUGGCUUAGAAGCAGCCAUCAUUUAAAGAAAGCGUAAUAGCUCACUGGUCGAGUCGGCCUGCGCGGAAGAUGUAACGGGGCUAAACCAUGCACCGAAGCUGCGGCAGCGACACUAUGUGUUGUUGGGUAGGGGAGCGUUCUGUAAGCCUGCGAAGGUGUGCUGUGAGGCAUGCUGGAGGUAUCAGAAGUGCGAAUGCUGACAUAAGUAACGAUAAAGCGGGUGAAAAGCCCGCUCGCCGGAAGACCAAGGGUUCCUGUCCAACGUUAAUCGGGGCAGGGUGAGUCGGCCCCUAAGGCGAGGCCGAAAGGCGUAGUCGAUGGGAAACAGGUUAAUAUUCCUGUACUUGGUGUUACUGCGAAGGGGGGACGGAGAAGGCUAUGUUAGCCGGGCGACGGUUGUCCCGGUUUAAGCAUGUAGGCUGGUUGUCCAGGCAAAUCCGGAUAAUCAAGGCUGAGGUGUGAUGACGAGGCACUACGGUGCUGAAGUAACAAAUGCCCUGCUUCCAGGAAAAGCCUCUAAGCAUCAGGUAACAUCAAAUCGUACCCCAAACCGACACAGGUGGUCAGGUAGAGAAUACCAAGGCGCUUGAGAGAACUCGGGUGAAGGAACUAGGCAAAAUGGUGCCGUAACUUCGGGAGAAGGCACGCUGGUGUGUAGGUGAAGUCCCUGCGGAUGGAGCUGAGACCAGUCGAAGAUACCAGCUGGCUGCAACUGUUUAUUAAAAACACAGCACUGUGCAAACACGAAAGUGGACGUAUACGGUGUGACGCCUGCCCGGUGCCGGAAGGUUAAUUGAUGGGGUUAUCCGUAAGGAGAAGCUCUUGAUCGAAGCCCCGGUAAACGGCGGCCGUAACUAUAACGGUCCUAAGGUAGCGAAAUUCCUUGUCGGGUAAGUUCCGACCUGCACGAAUGGCGUAAUGAUGGCCAGGCUGUCUCCACCCGAGACUCAGUGAAAUUGAACUCGCUGUGAAGAUGCAGUGUACCCGCGGCAAGACGGAAAGACCCCGUGAACCUUUACUAUAGCUUGACACUGAACAUUGAGCCUUGAUGUGUAGGAUAGGUGGGAGGCUUUGAAGCGUGGACGCCAGUCUGCGUGGAGCCAACCUUGAAAUACCACCCUUUAAUGUUUGAUGUUCUAACGUUGGCCCCUUACCGGGGUUGCGGACAGUGUCUGGUGGGUAGUUUGACUGGGGCGGUCUCCUCCCAAAGCGUAACGGAGGAGCACGAAGGUUAGCUAAUCCUGGUCGGACAUCAGGAGGUUAGUGCAAUGGCAUAAGCUAGCUUGACUGCGAGCGUGACGGCGCGAGCAGGUGCGAAAGCAGGUCAUAGUGAUCCGGUGGUUCUGAAUGGAAGGGCCAUCGCUCAACGGAUAAAAGGUACUCCGGGGAUAACAGGCUGAUACCGCCCAAGAGUUCAUAUCGACGGCGGUGUUUGGCACCUCGAUGUCGGCUCAUCACAUCCUGGGGCUGAAGUAGGUCCCAAGGGUAUGGCUGUUCGCCAUUUAAAGUGGUACGCGAGCUGGGUUUAGAACGUCGUGAGACAGUUCGGUCCCUAUCUGCCGUGGGCGCUGGAGAAUUGAGGGGGGCUGCUCCUAGUACGAGAGGACCGGAGUGGACGCAUCACUGGUGUUCGGGUUGUCAUGCCAAUGGCACUGCCCGGUAGCUAAAUGCGGAAGAGAUAAGUGCUGAAAGCAUCUAAGCACGAAACUUGCCCCGAGAUGAGUUCUCCCUGAGACUUUAAGUCUCCUGAAGGAACGUUGAAGACGACGACGUUGAUAGGCCGGGUGUGUAAGCGCAGCGAUGCGUUGAGCUAACCGGUACUAAUGAACCGUGAGGCUUAACCUU